rnacentral:misc_RNA from 1 species
AAGUCGUAACAAGGUUUCCGUAGGUGAACCUGCGGAAGGAUCAUUAUCGAGUUUUGAACGGGUUGUCUGCUGGCUCGCGAGAGCAUGUGCACGCCUGUCUCAUCCACUCUCAACUUCUGUGCACUUUUCAUAGGCCGGCUUGUGGGUGCGUUCGCGCACUUGUAGGUGUCGGGCUUAUGCUUUAUUACAAACGAUUCAGUUUUAGAAUGUCAUACUUUGCUAUAACGCAAUUUAUAUACAACUUUCAGCAACGGAUCUCUUGGCUCUC